UGCCUCCAUCAAAGGAAUUCAUUAACUAAAAAAUCGUAGUCUUCUCCACUUUAAAUCUUCCAAAGAUUUUUUACCUAAAUCCUUGGUAAUCACGGAUUUUUGCCUUCCUCUCCAAGUCUAAAUCGAGAAUUAUAAAUAUCUUACAGAGUAAAUCUCUAACUUACCUAAGAUUUUCUCAAAAUCGAAUUGAAAAUAUUCCAAACAUUAAGUAUAUUCCUUAUCUACAAACAUCUUGCUAACCAAGUUUUCUAAUUACUAAUUAAUAUUUUCUUAUCAAAAAUAUCUAACCUACUUAUCUAUAUAUACACUUACUUCUACGUUAUAAACAAUAUCAUUCUCUCUAGCUAUAAAAACCAGUGCAAAAAAUGAUGACCAGUUUGAUUCUCAACCCGGUGAAAGACUUGAAGCCAUACAAGACGAAAUGGAGAUCUCAAGUGAAAUUGCUACAUUCUUGGCAACAAAAAACUUUUGUCUCCCCAAAUACCGAGCAGCUGUUUGACGGGGUAUAAAUCUCAACCCCUGCAGCCACAGAUGCCUAUGUCAGUUGGUCUAUCAUUUGAGCAGAUAAAACAAAAUAACAAAGCCCGAGUAAAAGCACCAGUGCAACUUGAAACUAUAUCAAAGCAGCAAGAUCGUUUCAGAUCUCCAAAGACUUUACUCCAGAAAAAGAGAAAGGAGAACCAAAAUCUGAAGUUGCCUGGUAAGAGACAGAGGAAGAGGACAUCAGAUAUUUUGAAAGACAUUACAAAUAUUGACUUUUCUUUGGCUACAGAAGAUCAAGAAUCACCAGCAUCAACAAUUUUUCCUGAUACUGAUUUUGGAGGUCUGUUGUCAUAUUUCUUGCCUCUUAUUUGUAAUCAUUAUUUUCUCUACUCUUAUUUUAUCCUCAAGUCAUCAUCCAUGUAAACUCCGACCAAAACCUGUUUCAGAAUCUGAUAGUGAGUACCG